rnacentral:rRNA from 1 species
GCCUACGGGGGGCAGCAGUGGGGAAUAUUGCACAAUGGGGGAAACCCUGAUGCAGCGACGCCGCGUGAGUGAAGAAGUAUUUCGGUACGUAAAGCUCUAUCAGCAGGGAAGAAAAAAAGUCCUUUGGACUUUGGACGGUACCUGACUAAGAAGCCCCGGCUAACUACGUGCCAGCAGCCGCGGUAAUACGUAGGGGGCAAGCGUUAUCCGGAUUUACUGGGUGUAAAGGGAGCGUAGACGGCAGUGCAAGUCUGAAGUGAAAGGCAAGGGCUCAACCCUUGGACUGCUUUGGAAACUGUGCUGCU